UACGUAGGGGGCAAGCGUUGUCCGGAAUCAUUGGGCGUAAAGCGCGUGUAGGCGGCUGACUAAGUCCGCUCUGAAAGCCCGGGGCUCAACCCCGGGAGGCGGGUGGAUACUGGUCAGCUCGAGUCCGGAAGAGGAGUGUGGAAUUCCUGGUGUAGCGGUGAAAUGCGCAGAUAUCAGGAGGAACACCAAUGGCGAAGGCAGCACUCUGGGACGGUACUGACGCUGAGACGCGAAAGCGUGGGGGAGCAAACAGG
rnacentral:rRNA from 1 species